GCGGUCAUGGCGGAAUUGGCAGACGCGUUGGUUUUAGGUGCCAAUGGGCAACCGUGUGGGUUCGAGUCCCACUGACCGCA
rfam:Firmicutes bacterium CAG:24 genomic scaffold, scf301